UACGGAGGGUGCAAACGUUGCUCGGAAUCAUUGGGCGUAAAGCGCACGUAGGCGGCUCGUUAAGUUGGAUGUGAAAGCCCUGGGCUCAACCCAGGAAGUGCAUUCAAAACUGGCGAGCUUGGAUAUGGAAGAGGGUCGCGGAAUUCCCGGUGUAGAGGUGAAAUUCGUAGAUAUCGGGAAGAACACCCGUGGCGAAGGCGGCUCUCUGGGACGGUACUGACGCUGAGACGCGAAAGCGUGGGGAGCGAACAGG
rnacentral:rRNA from 1 species